AAUCUUCCACAAUGGACGAAAGUCUGAUGGAGCAACGCCGCGUGAGUGAAGAAGGUUUUCGGAUCGUAAAACUCUGUUGUGAGGGAAGAACAAGUACAGGAGUAACUGUCUGUACCUUGACGGUACCUCAUUAGAAAGCCACGGCUAACUACGUGCCAGCAGCCGCGGUAAUACGUAGGUGGCAAGCGUUGUCCGGAAUUAUUGGGCGUAAAGCGCGCGCAGGCGGUCUUUUAAGUCUGAUGUGAAAGCCCACGGCUCAACCGUGGAAGGUCAUUGGAAACUGGAAGACUUGAGGACAGAAGAGAAAAGCGGAAUUCCACGUGUAGCGGUGAAAUGCGUAGAGAUGUGGAGGAACACCAGUGGCGAAGGCGGCUUUUUGGUCUGUAACUGACGCUGAGGCGCGAAAGCGUGGGGAGCAAACA
rnacentral:rRNA from 1 species